CCCAACCUUUGCCUCUCCCCCUCCCAGGCGCGACCACCGCCCCACCUGGAACCUGACCCAGACGGAGCCGGUGGCCGGCAACUAUUACCCCGUUAACACCCGCAUCUUCAUCAAGGACGCCAAGCUGCAGCUGACGGUGCUGACGGACCGCUCGCAGGGGGGCUCCAGCCUCGCCGACGGCUCCCUGGAGCUCAUGGUCCACCGGCGGCUGCUCUACGACGACAACCGGGGCGUGGGGGAGCCGCUGUCGGAGCCGGGGGCGGACGGGCAGGGGCUGGUGGUGCGCGGCCGCCACCUCGUCCUCCUCGACCCCGUGGCGGAGGCGGCCGACGGGCACCGGCUGCUGGCGCAGGAGCUGGUGGCGGCGCCCUACGUGCUGCUGGCCGAGGCCCCCC